GCUGUGUCCACCAUGGGGUUCAGAUGGCCGGAUGAUAGAUAUGGUAGAAAAGCUACAUUGAGUCGGUGGGCUUGCGACUCUGUCUUCAUGGUAAACUGUGGUCAGAAAAAAACUACUCACACUUCUCUUUCCAAACACAAACCACAGUACGUACCCUUCUUUCAGUUUUCCACAUCCAUUUCUCAAGUGGUAAGUGCUGUUCUUUUUAUAACCACCACACUUAAGACAAGAACCAUUUCUGUUAAUUAUUAACUUGAUCUUUUGGCCGGUUCUUGUUCUCCCCGUUAUUCUUGUCAUGUUUUUUUCGUUAGCUUCUGCCUCAAACCGUUAUUCUUGUUCAUUGUACCCUUUUGAAUUGCCUCUUCUUGUCUCCUACUUUUGUUUUUGUUGUGAUAAAAACUAGAUUAACAUAUUUUAAGUUGAAAGAGUCAAACUUAAAAGUAUGCUAAUGUCUGUUUCUAUGUGUUGACGGCCAAAAACCUUGUUAAAAUGAUUAUCAAACUGCAUAAUCAGGUUAAAAUAUAGGUGGAUGUAUCAGACUUGGAACUUGUUCAUGUCAUAUAUUUUGUUCCCUAGGCAGUGAAUACUUGUUCUAGUUAAACAAUAGGAACCACUAAAACAACAACACAUGGAAACUUGGUAUUAUUGCAAAAGAAACUGAGUUAUCAUCUAACAAAGCACAACAUCAAAAUCUGAAUAUUCAUCAACUCGUUGUUUCUCAGAAAUGGCUGCAUCCAAACCAGAAAUUAAAUAAUUUAGCUCCCCCGAGUCUGGUUAUUUUAAGGGGCCGUCCUCAUAUAAGGCAAGCAUAACCUACCUUUUGCUCCCUUAUUAUACCACAGGCCGGUGGUUUUGUCAUUAUAUAGAAAUCAUAAUUUAUAUUAUAAAAGUAUAUAUAAUAAUAAUAAUGCUUUACUGGCUCCAUAAUCAAGGUAAAACUGAUAUAUUAAUCAUAGAUACGAACAUUGUAUUAAGAUAUUAUAAUACUUGAAGAAUGAGUAAAGCAUUUCGUUGAUUUCCAGUGAAUGUUACAAUUUAUAUAAAUAGAUUCAAAUGGUUUUCGUAUGAUUAAAUUUUGUCGACUUUGAGAUUAACAAGAAAUUUAACUUUAGGCCAUCACAAAUGGGAUUUUAUAAUAAUUUUAUUUUUCAAUAUAUGUGCAGGGAUCGAAGAUCGUCUAUUAUUCACCAGUAUGGGAUGCCUAUGUUCCUGCAUAAUGUUUUGGAGUAUUUCUCAUUUGGGCAAAUUGAAUGGCAUCAAACAAUGAUUUUUAGCCUGUUUGUAACUUAAAAACAAAAUUUUGUCCUCAUAAAAAAUAAACUUGGGUAAUGAUUUGUAUUGAAACUCUUAUUUUCAUAAUAAUUUGAAUUCAAAUACAAAUAGGCUCUUUAUCAUUCUCCAAACUCUGU
rnacentral:lncRNA from 1 species